rnacentral:rRNA from 1 species
CCGCGUGUGUGAAGAAGCCUUAUGGUUGUAAAGCACUUAUGCGAGAGGAGGCCACUUAGAUAAUACCUAUAGAUAGUGGACGUUACUCGCAAGAAUAAGCAGCCGGCUAACUCUGUGCCAGCAGCCGCGGUAAUACAGAGGGUGCAAGCGUUAAUCGGAUUUACUGGGCGUAAAGCGCGCGUAGGCGGCUAAUUAAGUCAAAUGUGAAAUCCCCGAGCUUAGCUUGGGAAUUGCAUUCGAUACUGGUUAGCUAGAGUGUGGGAGAGGAUGGUAGAAUUCCAGGUGUAGCGGUGAAAUGCGUAGAGAUCUGGAGGAAUACCGAUGGCGAAGGCAGCCAUCUGGCCUAACACUGACGCUGAGGUGCGAAAGCAUGGGGAGCAAACAGGAUUAGAUACCCUGGUAGUCCAUGCCGUAAACGAUGUCUACUAGCCGUUGGGGCCUUUGAGGCUUUAGUGGCGCAGCUAACGCGAUAAGUAGACCGCCUGGGGAGUACGGUCGCAAGACUAAAACUCAAAUGAAUUGACGGGGGCCCGCACAAGCGGUGGAGCA